UCUUCUAGGCCCUGACAUAGGGGUGCGGUCUCCUCCUGAAGGAGAGGCCCCAUCUCCCUAGGUAGACAUCGCCUAGUCGGACAAGGGCUCCGUUUUUUGGGGGGGUCUGUCCCCAAAUAGACUCCCCACCCCGGAGCCAAGGAUCGGGUCUGCCCUUGGCCGCGCGCGUCCCUCUCCUUGCAACAACGGAAAACGAGUAGGUCUUGUCCCCAUUCACAACUUACAGGUGGGGAAACUGAGGCUCGGGGCCCCAAGACCCUUGUCCAGGGUCCCCCACCACGGCUGGUGUAUCUGCUCGGCUCCUGGGCAGCCUUUGUCGGCCUCCGCGGGACUGACACCUGGAACGGAUGUUUCUUGGUUGUGGGGCGUCCUGAGCACUGGGGGGUCCUGGCCGCAUCCCUGGCCCCCACCCGCUCCACUCCGGGAGCACUCCCUGGAGCUGAAACAACCAAAAAAUGUCCCCAGGCAUCACCUGUGUCCCCUGGGGAGCAGACUCACUCCCAGGUGAGACCCCCUGGGUCAGGAGGUCCCACUGACCCCCAGGAGACUGCGUUCUGCAGCCAUCGGGCUCCAGAGGUCCUGGGACACUGCACGCGCUUCACGACACACGCUGAGUGGGGGCGACUCACAGAUGCUGGGAUCGCCCUGGUUUGUACCCUCUGACCCCAGGGAUUUACUCUUGUGUCCAGCGUGAGCAGAGACCAGACUCAAUCUUUUUCCCAAAUAAUUAAUGCAGGGUUUGUCCCCCUUGGCCCUGCUGACAUUCUGGGCAGAUCAGUCUCUGUGGGAGUGCCCUGAGCACUGUGUGGGGGGUGGUCAGCAGCAUGCCUGGCCCCCACCCCCUCGGAGGCAGGAGCAUCCCAGUCCUGCCGACUACAGACAUCUCCAGACACUGCAAAUGUGGGGGAGCAAAGGGCCUGGUUCUUGAAGUUGAGGGGCGGGGUGGCCCUGGACCCCCCUGGGAGGCCGGUUGAAACAGAGAUGUCUGGAGCCCAGCCUAGAGUUUCCGAUUCAGCAAGUGCAGGUUGCAGCCCGAGAAUCUGCAUUUCUGAAGGGGAGUGCGCUAUAGAGGUCCCUUGGGAGGGCACCCCUGUUUCUCUGAGUGACGUGAAGCAGGCGCCGGGUCCCUUGAUGGGGUGGGGGGGCAAGACUAUGGGUGUGGAUGUGUUGGGACUCCCCCAGGUCCCUUCUGCUGAUCAGGACUGAAGCCAGGGAUUGGGACGUGCUGCCUUUGGUAGGAUUGCCAUGAGGACAAAGGAGAUGAUAAGUGCCUCGAAAGGUGUGUUGGGGGGGGGAUGCCCUCUGGAAAUAUGCAUCAGGACGAAUUGUUGUCUCAGCCCUGGGGCCUGGGAACGCAGAGAACCAGAAACGAAUGUUUUCUGGCCCCGGGGGAAGUGACAGAUGGUUGGCGUGUGAUCAGUCCUGCGGCUGCAGGAGCGUCAGAGGGGCCCAGAGCUCUCGAGGUCGAUUCGCUUGUGAAGAGACCUGCUGGGGGCAGCUGCGUGUCCUAGAAUAUUCAGGAAGCCGGAUGUGGCAACUUUCCCUCCUUGUGGAACCCCAAUGGCUUUGAUCUGGCUUCCCUGAGCAUUGAAGGACGCGCUCCCCCCACCUGCCCCACAUUUCCAGGAAGAGUCUGGUCUGAGGACCCCCGCAGAGUGGGAAGCACCUGGCCCACACCAACGUCACGAGCGCCCUUGGACAUCGACAGGGUGAUGACCAACAGAAGUGAGCGUCGCCCCGCUUGGCAUGAGGAACGUUGAUUUUCACCCCAGCCCCGCGGAGAGAGGGGCAGGCCUGUGGGAAGCUCUUCCCUUCCCCGGACUCAUUCGUUGACUGCCUUGUGGACAGGGAAGAGCUUCUGGGCACCCAGCCUGCGUAGCUGACUCAGGCCCCCCACACUCCAGGUCACUUUCUGCGGCCACUCUGCUUACAAGUGGGCAGCCAGUCCCCAGGUUUUCCCAACGUGUUGGUUCUGGACCCGAGUUGCCUGUCGCUGUGAGUUUUGAGGAUCGUGGGACUUGUGAAGGUGCUACAUGAUGAACAGAUGGGACCCUAUUGAUGGAAGCUCUGGGUUUAUAAAGGACUGAAAUCAUUAACUCCGAUUAGCUUAAGGUCCUAACAACCACACCCAACAAAACGCAGAAAGCACCGGGGCUCCCGAUGUGUGCAGGGCUAGACCCAGGCACUCAGCGUUUUGGGAUCUGCUCUCUUCUGUUUGGGUUUAAUUCCCAGACAAACUCCACCACUGGGUGGUAAAAACUACUGCA